CUGUGCCUGCCUCGAAAGCUCAAGGUCCUGAGUUUGAUCCCUGGUACCAAAAACAAACAAACAAAAAAACCAUGAUCACUGAAAAGAAAGAGCUGCCAUACAUUUGAUAUGAGAAAAGAAGCCUUGAAAGCAGACACCUACUCACCAAGACCAAAUACUAAUUUAAGAUGGAUAAACUAAAAUAACAUGCAACGGCACAACCACAUAAGAGCUUUGGUUGUGCAAGCCGUUUCAAGUUGCAUGCACAAGCAUACUGUGAAGAAUUCAUUUUCUCUAGUUUCCUGGUGACAAUAAAAGAAUUUAAUAAUAAAAAAAGUUGAACUUUGGCCUGAAAUGUUGCUGUCCUGCUGAAAUGG